GACGAACGCUGGCGGCGUGCUUAACACAUGCAAGUCGAACGGAAAGGCCCUGCUUUUGUGGGGUGCUCGAGUGGCGAACGGGUGAGUAACACGUGAGUAACCUGCCCUUGACUUUGGGAUAACUUCAGGAAACUGGGGCUAAUACCGGAUAGGGGCUCCUGCUGCAUGGUGGGGGUUGGAAAGUUUCGGCGGUUGGGGAUGGACUCGCGGCUUAUCAGCUUGUUGGUGGGGUAGUGGCUUACCAAGGCUUUGACGGGCAGCCGGCCUGAGAGGGUGACCGGCCACAUUGGGACUGAGAUACGGCCCAGACUCCUACGGGAGGCAGCAGUGGGGAAUAUUGCACAAUGGGCGGAAGCCUGAUGCAGCAACGCCGCGUGCGGGAUGACGGCCUUCGGGUUGUAAACCGCUUUCGCCUGUGACGAAGCGUGAGUGACGGUAAUGGGUAAAGAAGCACCGGCUAACUACGUG
rnacentral:rRNA from 1 species